UACGUAGGUGGCGAGCGUUGUCCGGAUUUACUGGGCGUAAAGAGCGCGCAGGCGGCUGGUCAAGUCCGAUGUGAAAGCUCCCGGCUUGACUGGGAAAUUGCAUCGGAAACUGAUCGGCUGGAAGGUGGGAGAGGGUAGCGGAAUUCCCGGUGUAGUGGUGAAAUGCGUAGAUAUCGGGAGGAACACCAGUGGCGAAAGCGGCUACCUGGCCCAUUCUUGACGCUGAGGCGCGAAAGCUAGGGGAGCAAACGGG
rnacentral:rRNA from 1 species